UGGCGAACGGGUGAGUAACACGUGAGAAACCUGCCUUGAAGUCUGGGAUAAGCCAGGGAAACUUGGUCUAAUACCGGAUACCUUCAUUUUCUCUUAUGUGGAGAUGAAGAAAGUUUUUCGCUUCAAGAGGGUCUCGCGUCCUAUCAGCUUGUUGGUGGGGUAACGGCCUACCAAGGCUACGACGGGUAGCUGGUCUGAGAGGAUGGUCAGCCACACUGGGACUGAGACACGGCCCAG
rnacentral:rRNA from 1 species